rnacentral:rRNA from 1 species
UACGUAGGGCGCAAGCGUUGUCCGGAAUUAUUGGGCGUAAAGAGCUCGUAGGCGGCCUGUUACGUCUGCUGUGAAAUCCCGGGGCUUAACCCCGGGCGUGCAGUGGAUACGGGCAGGCUGGAGGCAGGCAGGGGAGAACGGAAUUCCCGGUGUAGCGGUGAAAUGCGCAGAUAUCGGGAGGAACACCGGUGGCGAAGGCGGCUCUCUAGUACGGUACUGACGCUGAGACGCGAAAGCUGGGAGGAGCGAACAGG